UUUUUUUUUUUCAUUUUUUAUACGUUUUGUUUUAGCUUUGUGUUUCUUUGUCAUUAUUAUUCUGAGGUAUAUUCCUUCUGUCGUCACAUUCUUUAGAGCUGUUGUUCUAAAGAUACUUUACCACAAGGCUUUCAUGUAUCUAUUGACAUAGUCAUUUUUCUUCUCCCACUGCAUCCACAUCUUUGGUCUCUGACAUUGAUUAAGUUUGUAAAUAUUGAAAUUGUGUCGUACUCGUGGUGUGAACUCAGCUUUCCUUCCAUUUCAGUAUAACUUAAGAAAUAGUACUCAUGUCUGUAAAUCAUGGCAGCUGGUCUGUGAUUUUUCUUUACAUAUAUUCAUUUUAUUUACCUAUUUCCUAGGAUUUUUUUAGGAGCAUUGCUUUGGCUGUAGCAUCUGUUAUUUUUCUGUCUAAACUGGCUAGCACCCUUAGUAUAAAAUCCAAGAGAGUCUCAGUUGGUUUUUGUUUUAAGAACGUUAGUAAAACAGUCUCUCCAGGCCCUAUGGACAAGGGGCCUAAAUGGUCCCAGGCCUAGAGUGCAUAUAAGUGAGCCUACUCAUAUCAGCUAGCAAGGAGUAAUGCCUGUGAAUCUCUGUGGAGAAGUCACCUUGGCCAAACAGCUGGUCAUAAUUCCAGUUUACUAACUGAACAGGGGUGAGGGGCUUGUAAUUCUAUUUGUUGAUUAUAUAAUUUAUUCUUUUCUAGCCUGCAUCUGACAUUCAUCUCGAAACAGUUUCCCCCUCUACAACAGAGGAACAGGGAGAGUAGACUGGCAUAUAUCUCUCGAGUCUUGGGGGACUAAAAGGUUGCCCCUCAAUUCCAACUAUUUGUCCCAUAUUGCCUCCCUCAAUACUAUCUCUUCUUUUGCUCCUUACCUCGUCCUGGCCUGACCUGGCUCCAGUCUCUGCACACUACCCCCACCACCACCACCAAUUUAAUUCUGUUCUCUUCUGCACUCUAAAGGAUACCUAUUUGUUCCCUAGACCUCUCUGGGUCUAUGGAUGUAAUAGGCUUAUUACCAUUUACAUAACAGCUUAAUAUCCACAUCUAAGUGAAUACAUAGUAUUCUUUCUAGGUCUGAGUUACCUCACUCAGGAUGAAUUUUUUCUAGUUCCAUGCAUUUACCUGCAUAUUUCAUUAUGCUACUUUUGAAAAAUAUUUUUAUUAUUAAUGUAUUUACAUCUCAAUGUUCUGCUUUCUCCCAGUUCCCCCUUCAUCUUCACCUCUGAGAGGAUACCCUUCCCCUGGACAUUUCCCCUCCCUGGGGCAUCAAUUCUCUACAGGACUAGGCAGUCCUCUGUUACAUACGUGCCUGGGGCCUCAGACCAGUCUGUGUAAGCUCUUUGGUUGAUAGUUUAGUCUCUGGGAGAUCCCAGUGGUCCAGUUUUGUUGACAUGGUUGUCUUUCUAUGGGGUUGCCAUCCCCUUUAGUUCUUAUAUUCCUUCCCCUAACUCUUCCAUAGGAAUCCCUGACCUCAGUCCAAUGCUUGGCUGUAAGUAUCUGUAUCUGUCUCAGUCAGCUGCUGGUCACGCUAGGCUCCUGUCUGAAAGCACAAAAUAGCAUGGGUAACAGUAUCAGGGUUUAGUGCCUGCCCAUGGGUUGGAUCCCAAGUUGGGCCAGUCAUUGGUCAACCAUUCUUUCAUUCUCUGCUCUAUUUUUGACCCUCCUCCUCCUCUUCCUCCUUCUCCUCUUCUUCCUCCUCCUCUUCCUCUUCUUCCUCUUCCUCUUCCUCCUCCUCCUCCUCCUCCUCUUCUUCUUUUUCUUCUUUUUCUUCUUCUUCUUCUUCUUCUUAUUAUUAUUAUUAUUAUUAUUAGAUCUUUUCUUUACAUACAUUUCAAAUUUCAAAUGCUGUCCCGAAAGUUCCCUAUACCCUCCCCCUGCUCUUCUUUUAAACAGGAAUAAUUUUGGGUUGAAACUAUUGAAGGUGGGUUGGUAUCCCCAUCUCUCCUGGAGGCUAUGUCAACAAAGGCCUUGUUAACAAAAUCAGAAGUGCAAAGAGAGACAUAACAACAGAAACUGAUGAAAUAUUCUUACU
rnacentral:lncRNA from 1 species